CUAUACUGCAGUCGACGCACAGCGAAAGGUGCUUGCACCUUUCAAGUGAGUGGCGAACGGGUGAGUAACACGUGGACAACCUGCCUCAAGGCUGGGGAUAACAUUUGGAAACAGAUGCUAAUACCGAAUAAAACUUAGUGUCGCAUGACACAAAGUUAAAAGGCGCUUCGGCGUCACCUAGAGAUGGAUCCGCGGUGCAUUAGUUAGUUGGUGGGGUAAAGGCCUACCAAGACAAUGAUGCAUAGCCGAGUUGAGAGACUGAUCGGCCACAUUGGGACUGAGACACGGCCCAAACUCCUACGGGAGGCUGCAGUAGGGAAUCUUCCACAAUGGGCGAAAGCCUGAUGGAGCAACGCCGCGUGUGUGAUGAAGGCUUUCGGGUCGUAAAGCACUGUUGUAUGGGAAGAACAGCUAGAAUAGGAAAUGAUUUUAGUUUGACGGUACCAUACCAGAAAGGGACGGCUAAAUACGUGCCAGCAGCCGCGGUAAUACGUAUGUCCCGAGCGUUAUCCGGAUUUAUUGGGCGUAAAGCGAGCGCAGACGGUUUAUUAAGUCUGAUGUGAAAGCCCGGAGCUCAACUCCGGAAUGGCAUUGGAAACUGGUUAACUUGAGUGCAGUAGAGGUAAGUGGAACUCCAUGUGUAGCGGUGGAAUGCGUAGAUAUAUGGAAGAACACCAGUGGCGAAGGCGGCUUACUGGACUGCAACUGACGUUGAGGCUCGAAAGUGUGGGUAGCAAACAGGAUUAGAUACCCUGGUAGUCCACACCGUAAACGAUGAACACUAGGUGUUAGGAGG
rnacentral:rRNA from 1 species